rnacentral:lncRNA from 1 species
UCUCUGUCUCUUCUCUGAAAGGCUGUGAGUACCUGGGGGAGUCCUACCUGAGUAACCAGGAGUUCCCAGACCCCCGAGAACCCUGCAACCUGUGUACCUGUCUUGGAGGCUUCGUGACCUGCGGCCGCCGGCCCUGUGAGCCUCCGGGCUGCAGCCACCCACUCAUCCCCUCUGGGCACUGCUGCCCGACCUGCCAGGGAUGCCGCUACCAUGGCGUCACUACUGCCUCCGGAGAGACCCUUCCUGACCCACUUGACCCUACCUGCUCCCUCUGCACCUGCCAGGAAGGUUCCAUGCGCUGCCAGAAGAAGCCAUGUCCCCCAGCUCUCUGCCCCCACCCCUCUCCAGGCCCCUGCUUCUGCCCUGUUUGCCACAGCUGUCUCUCUCAGGGCCGGGAGCACCAGGAUGGGGAGGAGUUUGAGGGACCAGCAGGCAGCUGUGAGUGGUGUCGCUGUCAGGCUGGCCAGGUCAGCUGUGUGCGGCUGCAGUGCCCACCCCUUCCCUGCAAGCUCCAGGUCACCGAGCGGGGGAGCUGCUGCCCUCGCUGCAGAGGUGCUGGUUAGAGUUCCCUCAAAGCUGCCUGUCUUGGGCUGGGUGCA